rnacentral:rRNA from 1 species
AGCGAACGCUGGCGGCAGGCUUAAUACAUGCAAGUCGAACGGGCGUAGCAAUACGUCAGCGGCAGACGGGUGAGUAACGCGUGGGAACGUGCCCUUUGGUUCGGAACAACACAGGGAAACUUGUGCUAAUACCGGAUAAGCCCUUACGGGGAAAGAUUUAUCGCUUCAAGAUGGCCUCGCGUCUGAUUAGCUAGUUGGCGGGGUAACGGCCCACCAAGGCGACGAUCAGUAGCCGGACUGAGAGGUUGAACGGCCACAUUGGGACUGAGAUACGGCCCAGACUCCUACGGGAGGCAGCAGUGGGGAAUAUUGGGCAAUGGGCGCAAGCCUGACCCAGCAACGCCGCGUGAAGGAAGAAGGCUUUCGGGUUGUAAACUUCUUUUAAGAGGGAAGAGCAGAAGACGGUACCUCUAGAAUAAGCCACGGCUAACUACGUG